AAACGGGUGGUAAUGCCGGAUGCUCCAGUUGACCGCAUGGUCCUCUGGGAAAGCUUUUGCGGUAUGGGAUGGGGUCGCGUCCUAUCAGCUUGAUGGCGGGGUAACGGCCCACCAUGGCUUCGACGGGUAGCCGGCCUGAGAGGGCGACCGGCCACAUUGGGACUGAGAUACGGCCCAGACUCCUACGGGAGGCAGCAGUGGGGAAUAUUGCACAAUGGGCGCAAGCCUGAUGCAGCGACGCCGCGUGCGGGAUGACGGCCUUCGGGUUGUAAACCGCUUUUGACUGGGAGCAAGCCCUUCGGGGUGAGUGUACCUUUCGAAUAAGCACCGGCUAACUACGUGCCAGCAGCCGCGGUAAUACGUAGGGUGCAAGCGUUAUCCGGAAUUAUUGGGCGUAAAGGGCUCGUAGGCGGUUCGUCGCGUCCGGUGUGAAAGUCCAUCGCUUAACGGUGGAUCCGCGCCGGGUACGGGCGGGCUUGAGUGCGGUAGGGGAGACUGGAAUUCCCGGUGUAACGGUGGAAUGUGUAGAUAUCGGAAAGAACACCA
rnacentral:rRNA from 1 species